rnacentral:rRNA from 1 species
GCUGGAAUUGCUAGUAAUCGCGGAUCAGCAAGCCGCGGUGAAUACGUUCCCGGGCCUUGUACACACCGCCCGUCACACCAUGAGAGUCGGGAACACCCGAAGUCCGUAGUCUAACCGCAAGGGGGGCGCGGCCGAAGGUGGGUCCGGUAAUUGGGGUGAAGUCGUAACAAGGUAGC